rnacentral:rRNA from 1 species
CGUGUAGGCGGUUUUUUAAGUCUGAUGUGAAAGCCCCGGGCUCAACCUGGGAAGUGCAUUGGAAACUGGGAGACUUGAGUACGGGAGAGGGCAGUGGAAUUCCCAGUGUAGGAGUGAAAUCCGUAGAUAUUGGGAGGAACACCGGUGGCGAAGGCGGCUGCCUGGACCGAUACUGACGCUGAGACGCGAAAGCGUGGGGAGCAAACAGGAUUAGAUACCCUGGUAGUCCACGCCGUAAACGAUGAGUACUAGGUGUCGCGGGUAUUGACCCCUGCGGUGCCGCAGCUAACGCAUUAAGUACUCCGCCUGGGAAGUACGGCCGCAAGGCUAAA